GUAGAUAGAGGUUGCGAACUUUAAGAGUAUAUUUGUAGAGUUAAGCGCGUUGAAGCAAGUAGAAAGGAAAUUUCGCCGAAACCUAUAGUUAAUGCUUUAAGACUAUAGCGUUGGGGUUAUAUAAAAUAUGUAUAACACUGUCACAAACAUAGUUUGUGGAGGGCUAUC
rnacentral:ncRNA from 1 species